GACGAACGCUGGCGGCGUGCUUAACACAUGCAAGUCGAACGGAAAGGCCCUGCUUUUGUGGCGCGCUCGUGUGGCGCACGGGUGAGUAACACGUGAGUAUCCUGCCCUUGACUUUGGGAUAACUUCAGGAAACUGGGGCUCAUACCGGAUAGGAGCUCUUGCUGCAUGUUGGUGGAUGGAAAGUUUCGGCGGUUGUGGAUGGUCUCGCGGCUUAUCAGCUUGUUGGUGUGGUAGUGGCUUACCAAGCCUGUGACGGGUAGCCGGCCUGAGAGGCGGACCGGCCACAUUGGGACUGAGAUACGGCCCAGACUCCUACGGGAGGCAGCAGUGGGGAAUAUUGCACAAUGGGCGGAAGCCUGAUGCAGCAACGCCGCGUGCGGGAUGACGGCCUUCGGGUUGUAAACCGCUUUCGCCUGUGACGAAGCGUGAGUGACGGUAAUGGGUAAAGAAGCACCGGCUAACUACGUG
rnacentral:rRNA from 1 species